CCUAUGACACCAACCGACAUCAUCGCCCUCGAGAUAAGCCUCCCCCACUCUCUCUCUCCCCUCCCUUCCUUCAAAUCGGCUAGAUUGAGAGCGGAAAAGAGUGCCGGAGUGGGAAACGAGGGAGCGAGAGCAUAGAGGGAGAGGAUUAAGUAGUCAAAUGCUCAUAUCUCCAUUGAGUUAAACAAAAAAAAGACCACAAGAUCGGGUCCACGACUCUGGUGAUCUCCUUCUCCCUUCCCUCUCCCCCCCUCAGAUGUUCUCUUCCCCUCCCAAUCUUGCUUGAUCUAGAGAAUCAUUCCCAAACAAGCCCUAAAUUGGGAAAUUAUUUUAUUUUUAUAAAUUUCAAAGUCUCUAAUAUAAUUAAAAAUUAUGAUCGUUAAAAGCAGAAAUUGUGCACAUCUUUGCUUCUAUAUUAACAAGAUUUGUUUCUUCAGAAGAUAUCCAUACCAGCCCUCAUAUGUACAAAGUGUAUAUUCUGGCUUAGAUCACAAAUACAAGAUUGCUCCCCAAGUUGAAACUUGGGAUCAUAAUAUUUUAAACCAAAGAAAAGUUACUGACACAAACAUGCGUAUCUGUGCAUAUGUGUAUGCCCAAACAUGUAUAUUGGAGAUGUACAAAUUGGGAUGUGUUCAAAACCUCCACCCUAUCUUUCCUUAAAUGUACAAGGGAAAAGGGUUAAAGUCUCUUCUGUGCAGCAUGUUGUCAUUGGAAUUGUCUAUGGAAAUGCGAUGUUCAUUCUUUUUCAUUUCCAAUAAUGCUUUGGAAAGUCCUAUUUUGUGGUAAUUACACUUCCUGAAUGUAUUCUUUCGAACAAGAGAGCUAUUUCAGUUGGAAACCUUCUCAACCUCUUUUUCUGGAUUUGCUUGUGGAGUAAAAUCUGGUACUUCGACGUCAUAUUCGUAGAAAAUUUUGUUACUUGCUGACACUUAGAGAACAAAUGUAGAGCAUCUUACAUUUUCAUUUUCUUGGCUUGGUUACACAAUUUGUCCCUUCCUGUGUUUGCAGUUCAUGCCCAAUAAGGGUCGAGCAAUGCGUUGGAAUGAGAAAGUUUUCAUAUAUCCAAGAGGCGAUGAGGUUAAGAACAAAGACAGUAGGACAUUAUUAAUGUUCGCACACAAGAAAUCCGUCAUCCUCUGAAUUUCCCAGGGGAACCGGUGAUACCCCCAAGAGACUGAUCUUAGAAGGAUGGGGCCUCAAAAGUGGACAGCGAGGUGCUAUAGAAUGGAACUCCCAAAGAUAAUGGAGCUUCAAUUCCCAAAGAUGCACCUUCUGUGAACUGUGAUGAUGGGCAACAUCAGCCCCAGGCCUUCCCUGUUCGUGCCCAAGAAAGUUGGAACACCGCGUAGAGAUGAGAUGAUUUUUAUGUCACCAACUGGUGAAGAGAUUAAAAACAAGAACCGGUGAUACCCCCAAGCGCUCAGCAAGAAUUAGUAGGGAAAAGACAAAGGCAACAGAGACCCCUCAAGGCGAAAAGCCAAAAAAAAAGAGAGAAAAUCAAGCUCAAAGAAAGGAGGAAAGAAAAACAAGGAUAAUAAUGCUGUGGAUGAAGCUCCGGCAACAGAGGAUGCAACCGUAGAUGCUACAUGUGCAUAUGAUGAAAAAAAUGAAAGAAGCCAAUUAAUAGAAAAGCAGUGUUCGAGGAAGGUGAGAAGGAAGUGAAAUCUAAAAUAGAAAAAUCAGUUGAUGCUGAAAUACUUAUCAAUAUUCUUUCUAGCCAAUUAAUUGCCUGUUUGUCAGUCAUUGAUGGUAGGGUAACAUGCCUGUUAAGAAGACAUCUGGAUUAAAAUCUUGUUGGUGCACACAGUAUGGAUACGAGAUUUUCAGUUGCCGUUUUAUUAUUGCUAGAGAUUGAAUGGAGUUCGUAUAUCAAAUAGUGAUCAGCAUUUUUCUGAAGUAAUAUGUUCUGUCCAGAAUUAAACAUGCCACUGCCUGCUUGAUGAUGCCUGCCUUAUUUAAACCCAAACGGAAUAUAGUUCAUUCCUAAUAAAUAAGCUGUUUGGACUGAUGGAGCAGCUGUGACAUAAGAAAAGGAAACGACAUGUUUACUUUCCUCUAGCAACCAGGUCUAAGAGAAAUUCUGGAUUUAUUUGAAAAGAGCAAUCUGUAAGGAAAGGAAUGGUCUCUUAUUAGAGAAAUGGAAGAAUGCAGGAGGAAGAAGAAAAAUUUACUUAAGAGGCUAUUUUUUUCAGGUCUUUUGAUGUGCACACUUAAUAAGAGAGUCUGCAUUAUUCUACUAAACGAUGGAUUGCUCUCUUUAUUUAUUUAUCCAUACUGAGUUUCAGGUAUCUAAUUUGAGGUUCUUUCUGUUUGUGUGAACCAACUGCAAUGCAGUCAUAUUUCUGCCAACUAGAUUUGUUAAACAUGCUCCCUUCAAUGGAAGAAUGAAGACUUAAGAGUACACAAGGCGAUCUUUCCUGUAAGACAUUUAUUAGAAAGG